GACCAAACUCCACUCCAAGCAGUCCCGAGGGCUGCGUUUCCCCCUGCCCACGCGUGCCUCUGCUCUGCCAGGAUCGCACCACCGCUUGUGCACCGGAGCAGUGCACUGCAGUGUGCUGAACGUGGAUUCUGUGCCUUCCAGCCCUCACUUCAGCAGCUUCCUUCCUGAAGGCGGAAUGGGAAUGGCCAUCUGUAGCGACCAGCGCUGAAGCUGUGGUGGCUGUGGCUGGGAUGGAUGCUGGGCGCUCAGCACUGCUCUGGAGGAUGAAGAUGGACGGAGACAACCUCAGGACAUUCCUCACCAGUGCCAAAAGUGGGAGCGCCCAAACCAACCAGAACAACCCAGGCCAUAAAAUCACCAUGGGCAGAGGGCUGGAACUCAAUGACCCUUGAGGUCCCUUCCAACCCAAGCUAUUCUAUGAUUCUAUGAGCACCGCACAGUGAGUCAAGGCAACGUUUGGACAUGUGGAACAAACACCUCAAAGGAGGUUGAUGGCUCCACUCAAAAUCCUCUCCCAAAGUGAUGUGCUUCAGCUGAAGCUGGGAAGGAUGUUGGAGCUGGAGGCCAUUAAUGGAGCUGAAAUAAACAGCUGCUAUGAACAUGGGGACAGACAGAGCGUCUCAGCAUACACUGCUUCAGCGAUAACACUGUGCGUGCCUUUCAUCCCUGGAUCAGAAAAGGGUUUAUUGUGCUGACUAACAAAGGACUGAACUUGAGGAAGUAAUUGCUGUUGCUCCUGGGAGCUGUUGUUCUGCAAGGACAGCAGGAACAAAGAAAGUUUGAGCUGCUCUUGGGAUGGCAGCUGCACUCAGAAACGUCGGAGCGUUUGCCUGGCUGGUUUGUGUUUGCAGUCACUUUGGUACAUUGCAGCCCUCGAGAACAGAAUCGGCGUGCUGGGAGCCACAAGUGUGUGCUCGCGACUGAAAACCUGGCUGCUGUGUUUGUGUGCAACAUCGCACCACGAGAACAAGCAAGGAAGGGGACUGUUACAUUCAUCCCUGUCCCAUCACACCGCAGGCUGCAGCUCGGCCCAAGUCACAGCUUCCACCUCUGGUCCCUGCUGCCCCACCUGAAGCCCUGUCAGCUGGGAGCACUGCGCCGAAUCCCAGACGCAACCGAAUGGAAACCCAGAAGCUUUCCCACAGGGCUGCUGCCCAUCUGGGAGGAAGUCAAGAGAAGAUCCAGAGUGGAGCUGCUCUGUGAUGUUCUGGAUUUGCUGUGUGUCAGCAGAUGCUCAGCUCAAACCUGGCAGUUUCAGCCCCAGUCUGGAGGGAACAGAAGGUGUGGGGAAGAAGCAGUGGUGCUGGAGAGCAAGCUUGCUGCCAGGUUUCCUGCAGGGCUCUGUGCUCUGCAGGGACCAACGGGCAGCCGUGGCCCUCUGUUUCAUUGACUUGAUACCUGAUGUUCUUUAUACACGUGUAACAGCUCGGGGUCAUUCCAGCUGGUGGAGAAAUAGGCUGAGGAGAACAGCCAAAAUCAACAAAGGAGCGUGACUGAACAACACGGGCUGUCCCUGAUGUCCUCAGUCUUCUGACAGAACAACAGCCGGAGGAGCAAACAGGAGCAGCCACCAGCAGGAGCUCACUGGUGGCACCUGCAGCCCACGGACACCGCGGCAGUCACCUCUGCAACGCCCCCACUUACUGCCACGGACACGAAGGGCUGCAGCAGCACACAAGGCUUGCUUUUCCUGAGGGGAUUUCCUGGGUGAUUUCUGCUGAUGCUCAGGAUGGAGCUGGACAUGAACCAUUCCUGGCAGUGAUUGCUCCUGGGACCUGGCUGAGCUCGGCAGCCCCGGAGGGAAUAUGGUGCCUCUGCCCAGUGCUGCGCUUGCUGCGAGAUCCUCCCCAGCUGCUUCUGGUCCCUGUGAACACUGACCCCCCCCCCAGCACUGCCAUUACGGCCACCAGAAGCCAAAAGCAGUCCCAGCGCCCAGCAGACCCUGCAGCCCUCAUGCAAUGGACAAGCAGAAACUGUUCACCACAUCUGACCGAAAUGCCUGUGCAGCUCUGACGUCUCGCAUUUUUCAGCUGGUUUCCAAAGCUGCUUUGCUGAGCUCGCCCCAAUUAUGCGCUGCUGCCUGCUGAAACCACCGGGGCAAGGCAUCCCUGGUGCUGCCAGCUGCUCCCAAAGUACGUUGGAGCGGUGCCGGCUGUGCUGGGGUUCAGGGCAAUUGCCCUGCUUGCUGCAGUCCCAUCAGGAGGAGGAUAAAAGCAGAGAGAAGGGUUGCUGCGUGCUGAGCAUGCCCACACCCCUCUCCGUCCCGCAGCCCCUGGCGGGUGCUGGUGAGGAUGCUGAACAUGCCCCAGCCCCGCCAGCCCUUUCUCCACCUCUAUUUGGAUAACUUUUUCACCCGUUUAGUUUAUGAGGACUCCCCUCCUUCUGCCAACAGUCUGAGUCUCCUCUUGCUGCAGCCUGGGAGGCCUGUCUUUCUCUUUUAUUAUGAUUUUUCUAUCUCCCCCUCUCGAGGCCCCAGCUCGGCAGCCCAGCCCCGGGACAGACAUGCGAGCCGUGUCUGCACGGAGCGCGCCUUUGUUUGCGCACCGAAACAGAUGGGGUGAGGGUGCAGGUGGGAUGUGCAGCCAUCCUUCCCAAGCUGCCCCGCAGCAGCCGGCUCACCCCAUCGCCAUCCCUCAGUCCGGUCCCCAGCACAAUUCACGCUGGCAAUGUGUACCUGCCCAUGCUCGAGAUCACCAAUGUACCAGGGCUGGCAAACAGCUGCUCGCCCGGAGCCAGAAGCAAUCGGAUGUCACAACUUAAUUGUAAGUGAUCCAACAGCUUGUUCAGCUCCUUGAGGAUCAGCAGCCUGCAGGGGCUCUCUCUCGCUGCAGAAAUGUGGAUGGCUCUGUACUGCAGGGCAGGUGACACUCUGGGCUGUGGACACCCAGACCUGCCACCUCACGCUGUGCUGUCACAUCCCAUGGGUGUGACAUCCAUGUCCUUUGUGCCUCCCCUUCUGCUGCAUGAGCAUCCCAUUCCGCUGUGACCCCAGGGACAGAGCCCCUUCCUAUCCCAUGGGCACCCGGCCUUCAUUUCGUGCACUCACAGCCUUCAUUGCAUGUCUCCUUGCACACUGCUAAAGCAGUGCCAGUUGGACACAGCAUCACCAGCUGCACCAACCAGACAGAAAGCUGAGCAUUUUUCUGAGCCUGCUUUUAUGUGAGAGCUCCCAGCCUGCUGCUGGCUCCUGCGGGACGACAGCAACCCCAGAGCUCCUGCAUGCCGAGGACUCACAAAGAAAUGAGUAACAUGGCAAAAAUGAGCAAACCAAAGGGCUUCACAGCUGUUACAUUUCUGCUGUUCUCUGAUAGCUCUCCACACCAUGCUCAGCCCACUUCAACCCAGGGAUGCUAUUACAUAUCCUGCGCAAUUCCUACACAUUUCCAUUGAUAUGUGCCAUGGACCACUGAACUGCUGAUAAGCAAUGUGCCACCACGGAGCUGUGUGGCAAGAUGGGAGCGUUCUGAGCCAAAAAGCAAAGCAGUCUGGAAAGUCCUGAAGUCUGGGGGCAAUGAAACAGCCCCCCACCCCCCACACUGCAUGGUAUCCAGCACGGGGCUGAGUUAAGGCAGUCCCUGAAGCAGGGAUAUCCCCAGUCUUCCCUUUGGAGAUGCAGGGAGCGAGGCUAAGCAUCCUCAGGCCUGGAACCAAAGGCACCAGCACCCAAAACACAGCUGUGAGCAACUCAUGGGCAGGUGGCCUGGGAGAACUGCAAGGCCUUUUGAGACUGCUGCUGCAGCACAUCAGGCAGCUGGAGCACAGGCUGGUGGAGCUGUGUGCUUGGGAAGGGCAUGGGGCAAGGGAGAAGAGGAGCAAAAUGCCGAAGUAGAGCACGGAGAGGCAAGGUGGUGUGAUGGAGAGGCAUGGAGAUGUGAUGGAAAGCUGUGGGGAUGUGCUAGAGAGCCACAAAGAAGUGCUAAGAGAGCCACAGAGCUGUGAAAAGAGAACACUGGAGAUGCGACGGAGAGCACCGUAACUAUGAGACCUCAUCUGCUGGGCCCGUGCUCUGCACCCUGGGGUCUGGGAUUCCCAGGUCACACAGGUCUGUAGCAGCCCUGGCCCUUCAGCUUCCAGGGAAGCUGCAGCACAGGUGCUUUUGAAUGCAGUGGGUAACAGCAGGGUGAUGACAGCCAUGGCAGGGGGUUCUGUCCCCUGGUGUCCAUGUGCAUUUAUUGGCAGUUGGCAUCCAGCCCAGCAAUUGAGAGCAGCAGCAUGGGGCUGCCCUGGCACCCGGGGCAGAGCGUGCUGCCUGGUGCCUUGCACCACAGAGCCUUGAGGCUGCUAUUUGCUCAGGCACUAAAAUCCCCUCUGGGAGCCCUUCUCAGCAUCACCCCAUCCCAUCCCCUUGCGCCGGCCAGUAGCACUGGUGGGCACCGUCCCUGCUCCCACAGCCAGGGCACACUGCAGAGCACACAGCCUUUGCCUCCAGGUUGGCUUUGUGACCUGGGGCAGCACACCAACUGCUUGCAGACUGCAUGACUUAUACUGAGAACCCUCUCCCUAUCCAGGGCAGGCAGCCCCUCUGCAAGCAAGUCAGCCUCGCUCCGCUCCCUCCAGCACCUUCCUUCUUCUUCAAGCCCAGCAGAGUGAAAGAAAAUACAUAUAUCUCUAUCUAUACAUACAAACAAGAAAAAAGGACCCUUUUUCUGCCUCCAUCUCAGACUUUGCACGUGGCGGAGCCGUGGGUGGUGGGCAGUGGGGCCGUGUGCUGCUGUCCCCUGGCAGCCCCGCUCCCCGUGAGCAGCCGGGCGGCAGCGCGGGCGGUGGGAUCGCUGUACUCACCAUAUGGAGCCUCCAUCUUAGCGCUUAGCUGGGUGCUUACAUUGACCAUGUCUCGUCGGGUACCUCUAUGGGGACUGGGGGCGAAAAGCAGAGCAAGUGUCGGAAUAAUGAAAUAAAAUAAAGUAAAAUAAAUAAAUGAGAAUGUAUUUCUAAGGAACUAGGUGAAGGCAGGAGAGAGUGCGGAGAGGCAGGGCGAGAAAACCUGCCUCUCUUGUUAUCUUAUUGAUUCGCUUAAUCAGGGCUAAUGUGGGUGGAGAUGUUAAAUAGUAACCAAGCUCUUAUGGAAACCAAUCUGCAAGGUGCUGUCGCUGUAGCUAUAGUAACUGCUGCCAAGCUAGAAACUCAAACAUGGCUUUUACUGUACUCUUUCGGGGCUCCUGCUUCCAGCCGGUGCCAAGGCUGGGGCAGCAGAGGCUGGAGUUCGCUGGGGAAGGAUGGGGUGAGCUGUGGCAUUUCUGUGCCUGGGCACUGAGAGGUUUGUGGGCACUUAAUACGAUGCAGAAGAAAGGCAGGCGAGGGUGAAACCACGUGGCCCCCGGCUGGGGAUAAGCUGAGCUGGGCUGGUGCAUGCUGGGGUACAGCCCAGCCAACGGACUUGGAGUGUCCUCUCGGUGCAAAACCGGGGGGUCACUUGGGGAUGGGGAGCAGUGGGGUGCAGGGUGGUACCCAGAGCAUAAGGCUGGCGUGGGACAUUUGCAGCUCCCUCCCCAUCUCCGCUCCCUGAAUUCCUCCCCACACCCUCUGUUUCUGGUGGUGUCUUUGCAUGAUAAUCUGCCUGUGCUCAGGGAGCAACGGGGCAAGCUGGCUGCAUUUGUGGGAGGAGCUGCAAUGGCCCACGGUGACCCAUGGACAUCUGUGUUCCCUGCUGGACUGCACAACCAGGAGGAUGCCUGAGGACCUCCUGCUCACCAGCUUACAGAAACCUCGCUCCAGCCACAGCUUUGAAGCAGAACUCAAAGCCGCAGUGAUGUUGAUGUCUCUGGGGAUGGGCACAAGGAGAUGUUGCUGCAGGAUGGGACCCACGCUGAUCAUGGCACUGAGCACAGUGCUGGCACCCUGCAUCCUCUGCCUGGGUCCUGUUUCCUUCUCAGCACCAGGAACUUAAAGCUAGGA